CGCGUCGCGUAAAGCGCACCACUUCAAAAGCUUCUAAAGCUCUUCACUUAUAUCGGGUUAUGCGCGUGGACACGUAGGGUUUUUGAGAAACGCGCAGACUGCACUCGUCUUUUUGUCGGAGUUACCAAAUCUUAGACUCUCACUUGGGCGGAUAGAGAGACGGAUCUCCACCGGGAUCUCCUCGCACCGCGACUGUACCUGGAGAAUCUGAUUCACUCAAAUAGAGCACAGAGGAGAGUCCUGUGGAGUCUGUCCUUCUUUCACCCAGCGAGAGACUGCUGAGUUUAGACUCAGUUUAAACUCAUAUUAAAACAUCUUCCGUAACUCUGACCAGCAGCAUGUGGGACAUCAAAAGGUAAAAACACCUUCAUGCUUUCAUUUAAGCGCACUUUAUAACCUCAAGCUCAAUCCUACACCAGUUAAUCCAUUCCUGGUUCACAGUUUGUUGUUCUGUAUUACAAAAAAUCAUAUAUAUUAUGUAUUGAACCAUGCCUGCCUCAGCCAUUUUUGUGCUUGAUUUAAUGGAAGGAAGUGGAACAGUUCUGCCAUGUUGUUUCUAAAGAUGAACUUGACUGGCUAGAUAAUUUUUGUCCCCAGGAGUAGCCCAAAAUAGCAAUGGCCAGAUAAUUCAGUUAAAGGCACCCCAAUAUUCCGGAGGAGCCAGACAAAACAACAAAAUGGAGAUUAGUUGCAGAGAUUCAACUUGGCGAGUGUGAUAUUGCUUUUACACAACAGUUCAAUAAAUAGGAAAUUAAUAUCGAGUGACUCACUUUCAGACAAAAUUUGGCCAGUAAGCUGGUACAUUUUUUUCUCUGCUCAUGGAAAAUUUCCAAUAGAAUCCAAGUGUGUAAGUGAGGUAGUGGAGUGAUAGCAAUUUCCCCUCUAAAAAUUAAAAAAUAGACACAGUAAUGCCCUCUGUGUGUGCGUGUGUGUGUGUGUGUGCGUGCACAGGUUUGUGUAGAGA
rnacentral:lncRNA from 12 species